GAUGAACGCUGGCGGCGUGCCUAAUACAUGCAAGUCGAGCGAACAGACGAGGAGCUUGCUCCUCUGACGUUAGCGGCGGACGGGUGAGUAACACGUGGAUAACCUACCUAUAAGACUGGGAUAACUUCGGGAAACCGGAGCUAAUACCGGAUAAUAUAUUGAACCGCAUGGUUCAAUAUUGAAAGACGGUUUUGCUGUCACUUAUAGAGGGAUCCGCGCCGCAUUAGCUAGUUGGUAAGGUAACGGCUUACCAAGGCAACGAUGCGUAGCCGACCUGAGAGGGUGAUCGGCCACACUGGAACUGAGACACGGUCCAGACUCCUACGGGAGGCAGCAGUAGGGAAUCUUCCGCAAUGGGCGAAAGCCUGACGGAGCAACGCCGCGUGAGUGAUGAAGGUCUUCGGAUCGUAAAACUCUGUUAUUAGGGAAGAACAAAUGUGUAAGUAACUAUGCACGUCUUGACGGUACCUAAUCAGAAAGCCACGGCUAACUACGUG
rnacentral:rRNA from 1 species